ensembl:scaRNA
UGGACAUUUAUUUUUAUUCAGUUUUUUCUUAAAGUGAAGAUAACUCUUUGUAAAUGUCCUAGCGAAAUACAGUAGCUUUCUGUUCACCCUUUGCAAGUUAAGAGGGUGGAUCCACUACUGACAUUU